UUACAUUUGUUGCUUCACUAACCUCUCAUGUAUCUCAGAUGCCUUUCAUGAUUUUCAAAAGCUUUGGAUUAUAUUGACAAAAUUGUCCUUGUCUUUUCUCCAGGAUGCUUACGGGCAAAAAUUCUCAAGGUGAAAUUGUUGUUAACAUUGAAAGACUACUCAAGUGCUAUUUCAGAGACUGGAUACAUACUUAAACAAGAUGAAGAUAAUUUGGAGGCACUACUGCUUCGUGGCCAUUCUUAUUAUUAUCUCUCAGACCAUGAUGUUGCUACAUGGUUUGACUUAUGAAAAUUCCUAUACAGAAUUACAGAUAUAUGUAAAAGGUUUCAAACCUUGUGUCAUAUGUGCACUCUUUUGCACUUUGCUGCAAUGAUGUUCUCCUUUUAUUUAAGCUGCA